GACGAACGCUGGCGGCGUGCCUAAUACAUGCAAGUAGAACGCUGAAGGAGGAGCUUGCUUCUCUGGAUGAGUUGCGAACGGGUGAGUAACGCGUAGGUAACCUGCCUGGUAGCGGGGGAUAACUAUUGGAAACGAUAGCUAAUACCGCAUAAGAGUAGAUGUUGCAUGACAUUUGCUUAAAAGGUGCAAUUGCAUCACUACCAGAUGGACCUGCGUUGUAUUGGCUAGUUGGUGAGGUAACGGCUCACCAAGGCGACGAUACAUAGCCGACCUGAGAGGGUGAUCGGCCACACUGGGACUGAGACACGGCCCAGACUCCUACGGGAGGCAGCAGUAGGGAAUCUUCGGCAAUGGACGGAAGUCUGACCGAGCAACGCCGCGUGAGUGAAGAAGGUUUUCGGAUCGUAAAGCUCUGUUGUAAGAGAAGAACGAGUGUGAGAGUGGAAAGUUCACACUGUGACGGUAUCUUACCAGAAAGGGACGGCUAACUACGUG
rnacentral:rRNA from 1 species